GGUACAACUCGACUCGACUCUGCUCACUUUUUGGGGGUUUUCCACUGUGGAUAGUACCUGGUACCUGAUACUUUUUUUAGUACAACCUCGGUCGAGGUUCCAAGCGAGCCGAGCCGAUGCUAAAUGUGACGUCAAAAUCCUGCAGAUCGCUGAUUGGUCAGAGAGAAUCGUCAAUACCAGUGUCACUGGAUUUUCAACACAUGACAUCAACCCGCUAGUUUUUAAUUUAGUUACAGCGAUAACAGUAUCAUUUGUUCACAUGACUUUCGAAUUGUAAAAAGAAAUGGCUGUGUGCAAAACCAUGGCGAGGUGCAGACGGUCCGUUCAUUAGCGAUGAGCGAAACGACGAUGAAAAAGUCGUUCAGGAAGUGUCUCAGCUGUUGGCUGCACACGGCUACCACCGGACCUACCAACAGUGUAGGAAAAAGUAAAAAAAUAAAAUAAAGUGACUACAGAACCAUCAAGGAAAAUUGGAAGUGGUUCGGACAAAUGGACGCUAUCUAGAACGGUGAGCAAUGGGAGGGAGAAUGCCCUGGAUUCAGCCACGAUGGAGAUUGAUGAUGUCAUGGCAAUAGAGGUGGCACAACUAUGACGAUCAUCUUAUAAUCCCACCAACUUUGAGGCGGCACUAAACUGGAGUGGAAAAGAAAAAUCAAAAAAAGUUGAGCGACAGCCAGAGUACUGAACAGCCAUAUUAAGCAAAGGUCACGGAACCAGCCUUGGCGUCUGUUUCACGCACGCAUCUCUAAUUCACAGAGGAACAUGCAAAAUCUGUCGAAACUGAAAGACAUGUGCUUUGAGCUUCUUAACUCUCGCUCUCUUUGCUUCGAUAUGUUUGUGGCAACACCUGUUUGAAUAGACUCCUACACCCGCGCCACACCCGAACGCAAACACAAGACCGCAGUAAAGAGAAGAAGAACUAUAAGAGACAAACUUGGGUCAAUCCGAUCAAUUAAUACCAAUAAAGACCUUAAGUGACAACACAGAGUCACAUUAGACCCGGCAAAGCGUGGCAGCUUUGUUACAGUGAGGUGCCAGCUGCCGGUCAUGGGCCUGGAGGAGCCAGCAGGGAGCCGGCGGUUCUGCACCAGCGGGCUGCGGGGACGGGAGGAGAGCGGAAGGGGGGUGACGGUGGAUGGCGGGUGCGGGCCGGCCCUGUUCCCUGUGCGAGUGCAGUAUUAAUGAGGCGACAGCACGGCCCUGCUUCCGUAUUCAUUAGGCAUCUGGGCCAGCAGAUGUGAAGUGCUGCCUCAAGACGAAUAAAAAAUGACUUCCCAUCUGGACUCCCUAAACUGGAAAAGACAAGAGCGCGUGGUUCUCAUUUUCACUCUCACUAACUCGUUCACUCACUCUCUUUCCUGGCACUCUGUAUUUUAAUGGCAAAGUCUUUAGAGGUAUGGCUUUUGUUGAAGUUGGGCUAACUGAGAUUAGACUGUGAUCAUGGUUUAUAAACUAGAAUAAAGGUCAUUGUUUGACUAAUGCACAUGGGCAUUUUCACUCCCAGCUUAAUGUUGGUGAACUUCAGAACAUCAGAAUGGUCAUUAAACCUGUGUAUGCAUUGAAACCAGGAUGAUUUUAAUUUAAGUUUAGUAAGUUUAUGGUAAAGGAAUAUUAUGUUAACUAUUAAAAGCGCAGUUUAAGAAGCAGUUACUUUUUUUAACAGUACUACAGCUUUAAAGAUAACACUAUCUGUCCCUAUAGGAUAAUUUACAUAAAAAUAUAAAAACACCUCUCAAAUAUCAAAUCACCUCAAGCAUUUGAAUAUCACAUGAAUAUGAUGAUAUUUCAUCCGCUAACUGUCUGUCACGAACCUGUUUUAGCACAUUGUAAGGAACUGUGAAAGGUAAAAAAAAUACCUCAGCCAUAUGAAAUUAUACUGUAGGCUACAUAUUUCAAAACAGCUCUUGUUCAAGGAUAAAUUCACAGACUGAGAGAAGAUGCUAUUAUUUUAUUAUUAUUAUCAUUGCUUUUAUAACAGUUACAUCAUUUAAAAAAUUAUGGACACUAAUUUUCAUUAAACAUUAUUUUAGUAAGAGAUUCAUUGAGUGACAUCCUUCAGCUAUAAGAUUAAGCCCCUGUCAUUUAAAGAAUAACAGAAAAUUUCUCUAUGGGUGCUGUCCGGUGAACAGGUGUUUCACAUCAGAGGUGUUAUUUACAGUGUAUUUUAACAUGAUGAAAAGCAGUAUUGGCAAAUCAGCAUUCAGUACUGGAAAUAUCCAUUCUACAGUAUAAUCUUUAAUAAUAUUAUAUUGGUAAGAAAAAGUUCUUAUAUAUCGUAAUCUCAUACAAUCUCUAAAUUUAAGCCACGACCAAUGUUUAAAAUAUGACUAAACUCAUCUAAGUAAGACUUUGAGUGAUCAAGUUUU